rnacentral:rRNA from 1 species
ACUCCUACGGGAGGCAGCAGUGGGGAAUAUUGCACAAUGGGGGAAACCCUGAUGCAGCCAUGCCGCGUGUGUGAAGAAGGCCUUCGGGUUGUAAAGCACUUUCAGUAGGGAGGAAGGUAGUGUAGUUAACACCUGCACUAUUUGACGUUACCUACAGAAGAAGCACCGGCUAACUCCGUGCCAGCAGCCGCGGUAAUACGGAGGGUGCGAGCGUUAAUCGGAAUUACUGGGCGUAAAGCGCAUGCAGGCGGCCUGUUAAGUCAGAUGUGAAAGCCCGGGGCUUAACCUCGGAAUUGCAUUUGAAACUGGCAGGCUAGAGUCUUGUAGAGGGGGGUAGAAUUUCAGGUGUAGCGGUGAAAAUGCGUAGAGAUCUGAAGGAAUACCAGUGGCGAAGGCGGCCCCCUGGACAAAAGACUGACGCUCAGAUGCGAAAAGGCGUGGGGAGCAAAACAGGAUUAGAUACCCUGGUAGCACAGAG